UGAGAUGAAGCCGGUACCUCAGAUGGAAAUGCGGAAAUCACCGUCUUCUGUGUCGCUCAGGCUGGGAGCUGUAGACCGGAGCUGUUCCUAUUCGGCCAUCUUGGCUCCUCUCCCUCUUUAAAGUGAUUGCUCACUGAUGCCUUAUCUAGUUCUCUUGGUGAGGUCAUGUUUUCCUGGAUGGUCUUGGUGUUUGUGGAUGUUCAUCAAUGUCAGGGCAUUGAGAAGUUAGAAUGUGAUUUUGAAGAAAGGAGGAAAGAUGUGAAAAGUGAUUGGUCAGCCACAUUCAUGGUGUUGAGAAAAGAAUUUGCUUUUCUGGAACAUAGCCUGUGAUAGCAGAACAACACCUGGCAAGAAACAGGUUAUGUUUGGCUGGAGAGUCAUUGGCACUAUCAAGAAAUAUUAAAGUGUAGAUUUGAGAGAGGAGGAGAAAGACCCAAGCAAAAUUGAAAACCAGGUGGGACCCAGACAGCAGCAAAGCAAUGGAAGCAUGUAUUUUGGUCAAUAUAGAGUUAAUACACAAUUUUGCCCCUCUUCUUCUGAUCAUGGGACUCAUAUUACCAGUCUUCACAUUUCCUUUAAAUUCAGGAAUCAGGAAGAAUUUCCAGAGUUUGCAGAUGGACACAUUUGCUGCUUCCAUUCUAAACAUAAGUUAGAAGAACCUUUCAACUGGAUUCCAACUUUAAUAUGUCACAAACAUAAAAAAGAAAGCUAUUUCCUGGACUUUUCUUCAUUAGAAAUUAAUAGAUUGUCAAUUGGCAUAGGGAAAAGAUAAUCAACAGAUGCCAACCCCAAGUUAACAGAAAUGCUAAAAUUAUAAGACAAAGACUUCAAAAUAGCUAUUUUAAUUUUGCCUAGUGAGGUAAAUGCAAACAUGCUCACUAUGAAUGAAAACAGGUAAUCUCAGCAGUCAUGUAAACUAUAAAAAUAAGCAAAUAUAAAUUUUAGAAUUAAAACACAAUAUCUAAAAAUAAAUUCACCUGAUAUUCUCAAUAGAAAAAAUGGUAAUGCAGAGAAAAAUGUAUGAAAAUAUGGCAAUUUGAAGAAGAGAGAAGAGAUCAAUAAAAUAAAUAAGUAUAUCCUUGGAGACCUGUGGAUGUUUUUUGAAAAGUGAAUCAUGUAAGUAAUUGAAGUCCCAGAAGAAAAGAAAAGAAGAGGAUGAGCAGAAAAAAAUUUCUGAAAAAAUAUCUGAAAGCUUAAACACUAUAAUGAAAGACACACAUUUACAAACUCAAGAAGUUUAGUAAACCAAAAACAAUAAAAUCAAAGAGAACUGUGCCAAGCGACAUCAUUUUCAACCUGCUGAAGAUCUUGACAGCAGUCAGAGAAAAAAGACACACUUAUUACACAGAGAGGAACAAUACAUUAAAUACUAGCACACUUCUCAUCAGAGAUCAUUAAGCCCAGAAGACAGUGGAAUGAGAUCUUUAAAGUGCUGAAAUAAAAUAAAUGUUGAUUAAAAAAUUCUAUAGCU
rnacentral:lncRNA from 10 species